GCCUGGCCAGCUCAGCUGGAAGAGCAUGUAACUCUUGAUCUCUGGGUUGUGAGUUCAAGUCCCACGUUAGGCA
rnacentral:tRNA from 1 species